GAUGAACGCUGGCGGCGUGCCUAAUACAUGCAAGUCGAGCGAACAGAUGAGGAGCUUGCUCCUCUGACGUUAGCGGCGGACGGGUGAGUAACACGUGGAUAACCUACCUAUAAGACUGGGAUAACUUCGGGAAACCGGAGCUAAUACCGGAUAAUAUAUUGAACCGCAUGGUUCAAUAGUGAAAGACGGUUUUGCUGUCACUUAUAGAUGGAUCCGCGCCGCAUUAGCUAGUUGGUAAGGUAACGGCUUACCAAGGCAACGAUGCGUAGCCGACCUGAGAGGGUGAUCGGCCACACUGGAACUGAGACACGGUCCAGACUCCGACGGGAGGCAGCAGUAGGGAAUCUUCCGCGAUGGGCGAAAGCCUGACGGAGCAACGCCGCGUGAGUGAUGAAGGUCUUCGGAUCGUAAAACUCUGUUAUUAGGGAAGAACAAAUGUGUAAGUAACUAUGCACGUCUUGACGGUACCUAAUCAGAAAGCCACGGCUAACUACGUG
rnacentral:rRNA from 1 species